rnacentral:rRNA from 1 species
UGGUAUAACUUAGUGGCAGACGGGUGAGUAAUGUAUAGGAAUCUACCUAGUAGUAUGGAAUAAUUGUUGGAAACGGCAACUAAUACCGUAUACGCCCUACGGGGGAAAAAUUUAUUGCUAUUGGAUGAGCCUAUAUUAGAUUAGCUAGUUGGUGGAGUAAUAGCCUACCAAGGCAAUGAUCUAUAGCUGAUCUGAGAGGAUGAUCAGCCACACUGGAACUGAGAUACGGUCCAGACUCCUACGGGAGGCAGCAGUGGGGAAUAUUGGACAAUGGGCGAAAGCCUGAUCCAGCCAUGCCGCAUGAGUGAAGAAGGCCUUUGGGUUGUAAAGCUCUUUUAGUGAGGAAGAUAAUGACGGUACUCACAGAAGAAGUCCUGGCUAACUCCGUGCCAGCAGCCGCGGUAAUACGGAGAGGGCUAGCGUUAUUCGGAAUUAUUGGGCGUAAAGGGCGCGUAGGCUGGUUAAUAAGUUAAAAGUGAAAUCCCGAGGCUUAACCUUGGAAUUGCUUUUAAAACUAUUAAUCUAGAGAUUGAAAGAGGAUAGAGGAAUUCCUGAUGUAGAGGUAAAAUUCGUAAAUAUUAGGAGGAACACCAGUGGCGAAGGCGUCUAUCUGGUUCAAAUCUGACGCUGAAGCGCGAAGGCGUGGGGAGCAAACAGGAUUAGAUACCCUGGUAGUCCACGCUGUAAACGAUGAAUGUUAAAUAUGGGAAGUUUACUUUCUGUAUUACAGCUAACGCGUUAAACAUUCCGCCUGGGGACUACGGUCGCAAGAUUAAAACUCAAAGGAAUUGACGGGGACCCGCACAAGCGGUGGAGCAUGUGGUUUAAUUCGAUGCAACGCGAAAAACCUUACC